CUUUUUGCCAUUUCUUGGGCUGCUCCUGCGGCAUAUGGAGGUUCCCAGUCUAUAGCCUGGAGUCUAAUCGGAGCUGUAGCCGCUGGCCUACACCAGAGCCACAGCAACGCGGGAUCCGAGCCGCGUCUGCAACCUACACCACAGCUCACGGCAACGCCGGAUCAUUAACCCCCUGAGCAAGGCCAGGGAUUGAACCCGCAACCUCAUGGUUCCUAGUCGGAUUCGUUAACCAGUGAGCCACAAUGGGAACUCCCUGAAAUCAUUUUUCUUUCUCAGUGCUCAAGAAAGCAUUUACAUCAGAUCCAUUCUUCUUAGUGGAGUGAUUUUGUGAAGCUUUCCUUGAUGCUCCACCUCCACCCAAUACACCAACUUCCUGCCAGGUGCUUCUCCUACACACCCUCAGCCACAGCCAUUAUCAUUCAUUUGUAAUCAUCUGUUUUCUUGGAAGCAUCUUGCACUAAAUUGCAGGCUCUGGGGAAGGGACCCUUCUAUUUUGUUCAUCAUUGAAUGCCCUAUGCGGUGCUUGGCACACACCAGAUGCUUGAUCAAUAUUUGCUGAGUAAAUGAAUGAUGUUGUUCUUUUUCACUUUAUACCUACAGGAGCCACUGUCUCAGGAAGAAACAUGGACUCACUGAAGUCUUGACCCAGACAAUAAAUUUGUGAAUUUGGCAACUGUCAAAGCUCUCCAGCCAGAGGGAAUAAGGCAGGCCGUAUUGUGACAGCCUGCAGGCAUUUCUCCUGAUUUAGGAGGGUUUAAGGCAGGUCUCCUGAGCAACUGCAGAGGGCCGGGGGCCAGUUGGACCAGGGAAAAACCCAGGAUUAACUUCAGACCUUGACAUUUCCCUCCCUUCAGUGACUAUUAGCUCACGGCCUAAACUGUGAAGCAACUCAGGGGAAAUAUAAAUUAGAGCAAGAAACUGUACUAAAUCUUUCUCCUGACAACAGGCUGAGUGAGUCUGGCUUAUUUCUGAGCUGGUUCGUGCUCCCUGGUAUUGGGAGCUUUACCGUUUCAGACUGGAAUAACCUCGAGCAUUUUCCCCUCUCUCUGGUGAGAGCUCUGUAGCAGUUGUUUACAUUAGCUACCGUAUUUAAUUCAUGGAGGAGGGGGAACCAUGGGGGAAAGGAGUCAAAAGAAGGUUAAGUGGUGCUAAUGGCCUUAUUUGUUACUUAAUGAGCCCCAAUCCCAAUGAAGAUGACACUUCUGGUCACUACUAGCAGAUAUUACAUGGGGGGGGAGGGUUAUUUUAUUCAUUAGUUUUGACUUUUUUCCUUGUUAUAAUAGGAAUAGAAUUGUACCAGUCUAUUCUGAUUCCCUCCAUGAGACUAGGGGAGUAGUAGUUCUUAACUUUCUGACAGUGGGAUGGGAUUUGAAUCAGCACCUACAAGGGCUGGGCUCUACUCUCAGCUUCCGUCCUUUAUUCAACAAAUAUUGAGUACCUGUGAUGAGGCCUGGGAUUAUUCUAAAUACUGGGGAAAACAAUGUAAAAUAAAAGACACUAUGUUUCUGUUGAGAAAAAUAGACAAUAGACAUUAAAUAAGUAAAUUCUACAGACUAUUGGAAAAUGAUAAGUGAUAGAAAAGAAGGAUCGAGGUAGGCCGCACAGUGGCAUGUGGAGUUUCCCAGGCCAGGGAUCCAAUCUGAACUGUAGCCACUGGCCUACGCCACAGCCACAGCAAUGUGGGAUCCAAGCUGCGUCUGCGACCUACACCACAGCUCAGGGCAACGCCGGAUCCUUAACCCAUGACGGGAACUCCUGUAAAGAAAUGGGGCUCAUAUGGCAAGGAGCACUGGAAGGCACUGUAGGAACUUUUGCUGUAGAAGGAAUGGGGACCCCUCUGGAAGACUGAACAGAGGAAUGACUUACCUGAUUUUUCCUGGAAAAUCUGGUGGCUCUGGUGAGAAUGAUCUCUAGGGAACAUGGCAGAGAUGACCAGCAGGUGACCCAAACCUAUUCUUCUUCUGUCACAUGGAGAGUUGUCACCAGAAGCAGCUGGCCAGCCAGGGACCCUUCUUAGUGGGCAGUGUGGUCAAAUGCCAGGAAGACCACAGGGCAGCCUUCAGCCUGAGACCUGAAUGGCUGGCUGGUGGAGAGCUGCUUUCAAACACUGGACCCAGGGGUUCCUGCUGUGGCUCAGUGGUAACGAGUCCAACUAGUAACCAUGAGGACGUGGGUUCAAUCCCUGGCCUUGCUCAGUGGGUUAAGGAUUUGGUGUUGCCAUGAGCUUUAGGUAGGUCACAGACACAGCUUGAAUCCCAUGUUGCUGUAGCUGUGGUGUAGCCUGGCAGCUAUAGCUCCGAUUAGACCCCUAGUAUGGGAACUUCCAUAUGGCUAAGGUGUGGCCCUAAAAACCAAAACAAACAAACAAACAAAAACCCAAAACAAAAAAACUGGACCCAGCCGUUGAUUGCUACAUAUGAAAUAAACUAGUUGUUCUUUAAGCCACUGAAUUUGGUGGUGGUGGUGGUGGGGGGGGGGUUACAUUUGUUAUAGCAGCCAGCCUAUCCUAACUAAGAGAAAUACAGAGGUCAAGACAAAACCAGGAAGCUCUAUUAGGCAGCUACUGCAACCAGUCUGGGUAAGAGCCUGGUGGCUUGCAAUAAUGCGCUAGGAGAGGAGGUAGCACAAAAUGAAAUCAAAGUAUAUUUUGAAGGCGGAGCCCAGAGAAUUUUGUGACAGCUUGGAUGUGGGGUAUGAGAGAAAAGAAGGAAGCCAAGUUUGACUUCCUGGUUUGGGGGUUGAUACACCGUAAGUUUGGGAAGACAGCUUUAGGGGGUCAAUUGGAAAGGAGUUGCACUUGUGUAAAUCUGAGAUGUUUAUUGGUUUCCGAGUGAAGAUGUCGAAUAGAAAUGUGGUAUAUAAAUUUGAAGGUCAGGGAGGAUGUCCAGCCUGGAUAUUAACUUAGAGUCAUCAGUGCACAGAUUGAAGUUAAAUCCUGGGAUGGGGUGAGACCAGCAUGGGAGGGAGUAUAGCUACAGAAGAGGUCAAAGGACUGAGCCCUGUGGCACUUCAUCUUAAAGAGGUAGGGAAAAUGGGGAGAAAUCAGCAAAAGUGACUAAGUAGGAGCAGCCAGGGUGAAAGAAAGAAAAGCAGGAGAGUUUGGUGCCUGGAAACCCUGACCUGUUCUACGUAGGGGUGCAGAGCUCCACGCCAAGGAUCAGAGCCUGAAAAAUGGAUCCUCGCCUCUGAGGAGCAGGAGAAAGAUUCAUCAACUAAUGAGAUCCAGAUAAGCACAACUCUGGGGGCCUAUCAGAGGGCAGGAAAGAGCUUAGAAUGCCCUGCAGGCAGCGGUGGUAGGUUGGGAAAUAGUAGGAUUCU
rnacentral:lncRNA from 1 species